rnacentral:misc_RNA from 1 species
AAUUCUCAACUACCUUUCUAGCAUUUAUGUUAAGGGUGAAGUUGGAGUUGGAGGAUAAUUGCUGGCGUGCAACUUAAGUUGCUUGUUAGCUCCUCCUAAAUGGAUGAGCUUUUCUGAUAGAUCAUGGCUCAAGUAACACUAAUGUGAUAAUUAUCUACAUUAAAUGUGAAAGCUGUGAGUAGAGUAACUUCAAUUGUGGAGAAGCUCCUAUAGAAAGGGUAUGUCUUGGGGAUAAAUAAACCCUUGACUUGAAAUAUAAUGACAA